rnacentral:rRNA from 1 species
UACGUAGGGUGCAAGCGUUAAUCGGAAUUACUGGGCGUAAAGCGUGCGCAGGCGGCUAUGCAAGACAGAUGUGAAAUCCCCGGGCUCAACCUGGGAACUGCAUUUGUGACUGCAUGGCUAGAGUACGGUAGAGGGGGAUGGAAUUCCGCGUGUAGCAGUGAAAUGCGUAGAUAUCAGGAGGAAUACCGAUGGCGAAGGCAGGUCUCUGGGCUGACACUGACGCUCAUGCACGAAAGCGUGGGGAGCAAACAGG